CGGCAAACGGGUGCGCAACACGUACAGAACCUUCCUUUAAGCGGGGGAUAGCCCAGAGAAAUUUGGAUUAAUACCCCAUAGUAUUAUUAUCUGGCAUCAGGUAAUAAUUAAAGAUUUAUCACUUAGAGAUGGCUGUGCGUCUGAUUAGGUAGUUGGUAUGGGUAAUGGCCUACCAAGCCAUCGAUCAGUAACUGGUGUGAGAGCACGACCAGUCACACGGGCACUGAGACACGGGCCCGACUCCUACGGGAGGCAGCAGUAAGGAAUAUUGGUCAAUGGACGCAAGUCUGAACCAGCCAUGCCGCGUGAAGGAUGAAGGUCCUCUGGAUUGUAAACUUCUUUUAUGUGGGAAGAAACCGAUGGAUUAUUCUGUCGUUGACGGUACCAUAGGAAUAAGCACCGGCUAACUCCGUGCCAGCAGCCGCGGUAAUACGGAGGGUGCGAGCGUUAUCCGGAUUCACUGGGUUUAAAGGGUGCGUAGGUGGGCUUGUAAGUCAGUGGUGAAAUCUUCGUGCUUAACAUGGAAACUGCCAU
rnacentral:rRNA from 1 species